AAAAUGUGUGACGGGUCUCUCAGGAGGGCCGGGUCCUGAUGGGGUUGCGGUGGGUUCUCCAAGGGAAACCUGUAGAGGGCUAAGCAUGUGGGUUCCGGUUUGAUGGGGGGAUGGGGAGACUCGGGGUCAUGGGUUGCCGGGACAUUGCCCUGGUUCCGUUGUGCCUCCCUUAUUCUGUAUAGGGCGUCCUCUACGGCCAUGGUGGAAUAAUAGGACCCAAGACUACGAUCAAAGAAAGUUCUAUGAAACACUAAAAGAAUGUGUCUUAUAGCGGCCACACAAGAUGCAAAAAGGAGAUACCAUGCCAAUUUAAAAAACGAGAAGCAGUUAAGAGAUAGCUUAGUAAAUGCUGGAACCGCAACUUCUAUUUUGGAAAAUGUUGAGAGGCAAGUAGAACGUAUUAGGUGUACAUUAAGAGAAAAACAUAUAAAGAAGAUUAAAUGGAUCCUAAAUAAGCAGAGGGCGUAUAGAAGGGUAACUAAACUAUAAUUGGAUAAGGUAUUGACAGUGAUUGGAGAUAUACAGAUCCCGGAUUUCGUGAAGGAUAUAAUACAGAAAGGCCCGGCCUGCGCCACCUUGCAACACGUAGUACUCUUAGACGAUGUUCCCUUCGUGGAAGACUUACUCAGAAGUAUUGAGGAAGAUGAAAAUAGUGAGCACAAAUAUAGGUGGU
rnacentral:lncRNA from 1 species